GGAUGUGAGGGUGAUCUGGCUGUGACAUCUGUCACCUCAUUGAUCACCAAGGUUGAUUUGGCUGAUCUGCGGCUGAUCUGGCUGGCUAGGCCCUCACUGCUCCAUGUGCAUCCCUCCUGAAGCUGCUUGCUUGUUGAAAGAGGACAAUGUCCCAGAUACAGAAGGAGUGUAGCGAGGUCUCCAGUCUUCGGUUUCUGGGUAUAUGAUAGCUCCGCUCCCCUGCUAGAACCUCCAAACAAGCUCAAGGUUCAAAAGUGACCAUUGAAUACACGUGGGCACACAAAACUGCACUGAAGGUUUGGAAAUACAUUAUGAGUGAAUUCACAGAGUGAAUUCAUGGUUU
rnacentral:snRNA from 1 species